GGGCCCGUAGCUUAGCCUGGUUGGAGUGCCCGAUUAGCUAACUGUUUAAGCUAAGGCAAGACUGAUAAUCGGGUGGUCCGGAGUUCGAAUCUCCGCGGGCCCA
rnacentral:tRNA from 1 species